rnacentral:lncRNA from 1 species
AUGAAACUGGGACUUACCAUGCACACAAGUCUAUUCUCCUGGAUUUCCUUAUCACAGGAGAGAUCUGUGGUGUCAUCACCUCCAGCAAUCCUUUCCCCAAUGUCACCACUGAUUCGCAUCACCUCUACAUGCAGCCGACCUGCCACCUAUAACAAGAGAAGAAAAAUGGGAUUUUGUUAUUUCUCCCAUUUUAGAGUCAGGUGGUUGGGUUAAUGGUAAAUGAGAAUUUAGAAGUGUAGGUUCUAACAGUUACUUUUCCUCAAAGUACUUGGAAUAAUCACCACCAAGCAGAUGGAAACACAGGUAAUAAUAAUACACAUAAAUAACACUUAUUAUUGAUGAAAAAGAGUCACAACAACGUACUACCACCACUGUAAUGUUUCCUAAACUUUUCUCUGCAGGGUAUAAGGCAUAAAGAGAAAACUAACCUCUCCUUUCUGGUUGACAAUUGGAACAGCAUACUGUAACUUCACAUCAUAGAAGAGGGACUCGAGGAAGACAUUCGCCACCCCAAUGAGACUGUGAUUUUCCUGUUCGUCAUAGAAUGGAUCAGCACGCUUGAAGUAGGACCGUAUGACCUUUAAAGAGAUUUGGAACAUCGCAACUUCAGAAAUCACUUAAAACAAAUUAAUUCAGGGAGGCUGGGUGGCUCAGUCAGUUGAGCGUCCGACUUUGGCUCAGGUCAUGAUCUCAUAGCUUGUGAGUUCGAGCCCUGCAUCGGGCUCUGUGCUGACAGCUUGGAGCCUGGAGCCUGCUUCGGAUUCUGUGCCUCCCUCUCUCUCUGUUCCUCCUCCGCUCAUGCUCGCUCUCUCUCUCUCUCAAAACUAAAUAAACAUUCAAAAAAAAUUUAAAACAAAUUAAUUCAACCUACUACCACCUUUUCAUGGCCAGUAAGAAAGUGAUCAAACUCAGCUU